GUCUGUGGUCAGACCAACCUGAACAUGCCUUAGCUCUGAUCUUUGCAACUAAGUAGGGUCAGGCCUACCUAGGACUUGGAUGGGAGAUCCAAAUCAAACAGAUGGGCCACAGUGA
ensembl:rRNA predicted gene, 23752